CCUACGGGUGGCAGCAGUGGGGAAUAUUGCACAAUGGGCGAAAGCCUGAUGCAGCAACGCCGCGUGAGCGAUGAAGGCCUUCGGGAUGUAAAGCUCUGUCCUCCAGGAAGAUAAUGACGGUACUUGAGGAGGAAGCCCCGGCUAACUACGUGCCAGCAGCCGCGGUAAUACGUAGGGGGCAGGCGUUAUCCGGAAUUACUGGGGGUUAAGGGGUCGUAGGUGGUAUCUUAAGUCAGAGGUGAAAGUCUACGGCUCAACCGUGGUACGCUUUUGAAACUGGAAAACUUGAGUGCAGGAGAGGAAAGUGGAAUUCCUAGUGUAGCGGUGAAAUGCGUAGAUAUUAGGAGGAACACCAGUUGCGAAGGCGGCUCUCUGGACUGUAACUGACGCUGAGGCACGAAAGCGUGGGGAGCAAACAGGAUUAGAUACCCGGGUAGUC
rnacentral:rRNA from 1 species